rnacentral:rRNA from 1 species
GAUGAACGCUAGCGGGAGGCCUAACACAUGCAAGCCGAGCGGUAGAGUCUCUUCGGAGACUUGAGAGCGGCGCACGGGUGCGGAACACGUGUGCAACCUGCCUUUAUCUGGGGGAUAGCCUUUCGAAGGGAAGAUUAAUACCCCAUAAUAUACUGGAUGGCAUCAUCUGGUAUUGAAAACUCCGGUGGAUAGAGAUGGGCACGCGCAAGAUUAGAUAGUUGGUGAGGUAACGGCUCACCAAGUCAGCGAUCUUUAGGGGGCCUGAGAGGGUGAUCCCCCACUCUGGUACUGAGACACGGACCAGACUCCUACGGGAGGCAGCAGUGAGGAAUAUUGGACAAUGGGUGAGAGCCUGAUCCAGCCAUCCCGCGUGAAGGACGACGGCCCUAUGGGUUGUAAACUUCUUUUGUAUAGGGAUAAACCUAGAUACGUGUAUCUAGCUGAAGGUACUAUACGAAUAAGCACCGGCUAACUCCGUG